rnacentral:rRNA from 1 species
CCCUUAGAUGUUCUGGGCCGCACGCGCGCUACACUGAUGCAUUCAACGAGUCUAAAACCUGCUCUGAUAGGGGUGGGUAAUCUUUUGAAUGUGCAUCGUGAUUGGGAUAGAUGAUUGAAAUUUUUCAUCUUCAACGAGGAAUGCCUAGUAAACGCAAGUCAUCAGCUUGCAUUGAUUACGUCCCUGCCCUUUGUACACACCGCCCGUCGCUCCUACCGAUUGAAUGAUCCGAUGAAUAUCAUGGAUUGAGGAUGCAAGUAGGCUCACCUAUCUUCAUCUUCGAGAAGUGAAGUAAAUCUUAUCAUUUAGAGGAAGGAGAAGUCGUAACA